rnacentral:rRNA from 1 species
CUACGUGCCAGCAGCCGCGGUAAUACGUAGGGUGCGAGCGUUAAUCGGAAUUACUGGGCGUAAAGCGAGCGCAGACGGUUACUUAAGCAGGAUGUGAAAUCCCCGGGCUCAACCUGGGAACUGCGUUCUGAACUGGGUGACUAGAGUGUGUCAGAGGGAGGUAGAAUUCCACGUGUAGCAGUGAAAUGCGUAGAGAUGUGGAGGAAUACCGAUGGCGAAGGCAGCCUCCUGGGUUAACACUGACGUUCAUGCUCGAAAGCGUGGGUAGCAAACAGGAUUAGAUACCCUGGUAGUCCACGCCCUAAACGAUGUCAAUUAGCUGUUGGGCAACUUGAUUGCUUAGUAGCGUAGCUAACGCGUGAAAUUGACCGCCUGGGGAGUACGGUCGCAAGAUUAAAACUCAAAGGAAUUGACGGGGACCCGCACAAGCGGUGGAUGAUGUGGAUUAAUUCGAUGCAACGCGAAGAACCUUACCUGGUCUUGACAU